rnacentral:misc_RNA from 1 species
AAGACAAAGGUGGGCUGACAAGUCAUACAAGAAAUCCCAUCUUGGAAACGAGUGGAAGAAACCCUUUGCUGGAUCUUCCCAUGCAAAAGGCAUUGUUCUAGAAAAGAUUGGUAUUGAGGCUAAGCAGCCUAACUCCGCUAUCAGAAAGUGUGCUAGAGUUCAGCUUAUUAAGAAUGGGAAGAAGAUUGCUGCCUUCGUCCCAAAUGAUGGUUGUCUUAAUUACAUUGAAGAAAAUGACGAGGUUCUCAUUGCUGGAUUUGGUCGAAAAGGACAUGCUGUUGGUGAUAUUCCCGGAGUCAGAUUUAAGGUUGUGAAGGUGUCAGGUGUAUCUCUGUUGGCUCUCUUCAAGGAAAAGAAGGAGAAGCCAAGGUCUUAA